GGAAAAUAAGAUGGAUCUAAAAUAGUGUGCGAAGACCUUGCUUGAAUACAGCAGAUGGAGCUGCCUGCCCUGAUGUGGAGCAAACCACAACUUUCUGAAGGCAGAUGGCCCCUGCACACUUUUUGCCUUUUAAAUAGAAGUGACAUAGCCCACAUCCUGCACACUUCCAAGAUAAGGUAAGCAAGAGUGUAUUCUUAAACAGAGAAAAGAAGAACUGAAAGGCAGAAUGAAGGAUGAAAAAUUCAAGGAGACUAUGACCUCUUUGGGGUAAACUAAUUUUAAGGAGAGAUUUACGAGAUGAAACAUGCUUAAGUUUUCAUCUGGAAUAUUAU